UCUUACAGAAAUCCCCUAUCCGAUUCUCUCCCCCUUCCUCUAUCAGGGUGCUCCCCACCCCCACCCACUCCCAUCUUCCUGCCCUGGCAUUUCCUUACACUGGCGAAUUGAACACCCUCAGGCCCGAGGACUUCUCCCACUGUUGUCCAACAAGGCAAUCUUCUGGCACAUAUGUGGCCAGCGCCAUGGGGCACUCCAUGUGUAUCCUAUGGUUGGUGGUCCAGUCCUCUGGAGAUCCAUCUGUCCUGAUGACACUGUUGCUCUUUCCAUGGGGCUGCCGAAAUAUUUUACAGACAAUCAUGAAAACUAGUGUGAUAAAAAAGUACACAUGAUGAAAACAAAUGGUUCUCUCCAUGUGUUUUCAAUGAUUAAAUUAGGAUUUCAAAGUCAUAGAUACUUCCCCACUCCUGCCACAGGCUUAUACAUAGGGCACACUGUGGUUACUUGGGCUUCAGCUGUACAGUAGUACACAUCAUUUGGAGGUUUAGAAUGCUGUGCAGCAACCCAUUUUUUUUUCAACACACUCAACUCCAGUUGAAGGAGUGAUGUGAUGAAGAGGAAGAUAUUUUAACAUCACUUAUCAGUACUAUAUUAAUAGGCCCUGCUACAAUACAGCCACACCUUCUAGAGUUAUGGUCAAUAUAUAGAAAAUAUCUUUUUAUCUUUCUGGCCAUAUUUUCUGUUCAUCUUUCAUAUGGUUUCAUAACAGGACAGAGAGGGUAGGAUAAGAUUACAAAUGGGAGAGAAGAGAGAUGCAAUAUAAACAUAAUGAACGACAACAUAAUCUUAAGAUGACCCUCUGCAAAUGAUAGGACAGAAGACAGAAUUUGUAGCAACUCUGUAGUAGGAUCCUAGAAAUAUUUAGAAGGAAAACUUCCAGAGCCUAUCCUUGUAUCCUGUUCUGUCUUAAGAGAUGAAAGGCAUCAUUUUGUUCUCUGCAUCUAAGCUGGGAAGAAGCUACCAAGAUGAAGUUGCAGGCAGGGCAAGAACUUCUGGGGUGGCAGCUCCAAGCUUCUGUGGACAUAAUGCAAAUCUUGGUUGGUUGACAGAAUUUGGUAAUAUUGAUAAAUCUGACAAUGCUCAGUGCCUCAGUAUGUUCAAGGUCAUGAGGACUUAGGGACAAUAAAUUAAAACCUCUAACAUUAUCAACUCAUGUCUCUUCAAGUCUGUUUUGUGUCCUUGGAUUAAAAAUAUGUAGAA
rnacentral:lncRNA from 1 species